rnacentral:rRNA from 1 species
UACGGGAGGCAGCAGGGGGAAUAUUGCACAAUGGGCGAAAGCCUGAUGCAGCUAUGCCGCGUGUAUGAAGAAGGCCUUAGGGUUGUAAAGUACUUUCAUCGGGGAGGAAAAAACAAAACUAAUAAUUUUAUUUCUUGACGUUACCCGAAAAAGAAGCACCGGCUAACUCCGUGCCAGCAGCCGCGGUAAUACGGAGGGUGCUAGCGUUAAUCAGAAUUACUGGGCGUAAAGAGCACGUAGGUGGUUUUUUUAAAGUCAGAUGUGAAAUCCCUGGGCUUAACCUAGGAACUGCAUUUUGAAACUGAAAUACUAGAGUAUCGUAGAGGGAGGUAGAAUUCUAGGUGUAGCGGUGAAAUGCGUAGAUAUCUGGAGGAAUACCUGUGGCGAAAGCGGCCUCCUAAACGAAUACUGACACUGAGGGUGCGAAAGCGUGGGGAGCAAACAGGGAUUAGAUAC